AAGGGCGAGUACGACAAAUCUGGUCCAUCCAUUGUCCACAAGAAGUGCUUCUAAGUGAACUCAGGUCUGCUGUUAUAGGCAAGUCAUCGAGAUGGGGCUAUCAAAGAAGGGUGAUUAAAAACAUUGUACCGCUGAUACUAUUUCAUGUUUCCAGUGCAAGCCUCUUUUGUAAGUUGACAAACUCGAUUUGUAAAUAUGUUUGGGACUCAACUAGUGGUUAGAGUAUUGAUUUUGUAAGAUUUUUGUCCAGAAAAUCAAAUUAGAAAGAUUACUCGCGAUGAUUGAAUAAGCUCGAAGAAGUGGAUUUGAAUUUCAAUUCGUGUCUUUUUUUUAUGUGUGUGUGUGUGUGAGAAAUUUGAAGUGUUGUUUAGAUUUGUUGGAAUAGUCAAAAGACUAUAAAAUUUGAAGACAUUUGAUGGAGAUCUGAUUAGAUGAUUUUGAACAACAAUUGCAACUGAAGAUGGAUAUGUAUAUUAUUUUCGUAGUUA